CAGUAGAAGGACAAAUUAGACACAUAGCAUAUUUUCAUGUAGAUGAAGAAAGAUACAUGCCUGUGGUCUUUUCUUCAAGAAAACAGCUAAUUACAUGCAGUUCUGUAAGCCUCACAAUUUCAGCAUCCCAAAGAAGUAAUCAGAAGGUAAGCAUAAAAACUAGGAUUUUACAUAAGUCUUCAGUGGGGAUGUUUUCAAAGAGCUGAAAUGCUAGGACAAAAAGUAGAAACCCUGUAUGGUAGCAUGUCAAAUCCUUUCCCAGUCACUUUGAUCCAGUCAUUCUGGUCUAAACAUUUCAAAAGCAGCAUUCAGUGUGAUACAUAAACAGUGUGUGAAACACUGAGUAAGAACCAAGCUCACUAACCACAGUUCUGCUCGAUUACACUAGCUUAAAGUCCAGAGCAGCUCUACAAAAGUCUCCAUUGGUCUUCAUACAUGCCUCAGAGUCACUGAAAAUGAAGUUUGCCUCUGAAAGCAGGUACACAAAUCAACAUGAGAGCAGUUCUGCUUAACUAAGGACUGAUGGAUUAACUACUGAGUAAAAACUUGGGAUCAAACUGAGCUAACUGCAGACAGUUGCAGCUAAUCUGAUGAACUGGGUUUACCCUAUCAGAAGCAGAAAUGAAUAUGUUUCUCAACAGAAAAAGAGUCGUUUCCUGCAGAGGUGUGAGUGGCAUUGCCUGCAUGUCCAUCCAUGAGGACUGCUGUCACAGGUAGUGUGUUUGUCUGACUUAGAGCCCUCCGAGUUAGGGCCUUGUGCUUCCCACAACACCAAG